AGAGUUUGAUCAUGGCUCAGGGUGAACGCUGGCGGCGUGCCUAAGACAUGCAAGUCGAACGGGCCUGAUUUCGGUCAGGCUAGUGGCGGACGGGUGAGUAACACGUGGGUGAUCUACCCCAAAGUCUGGGACAACUAGGGGAAACCUUAGCUAAUCCCGGAUGGUGAGGCUUCUCCUGUGAAGUCUCUAAAGAUUUAUCGCUUUGGGAUGAGCCCGCGGCGCAUCAGCUAGUUGGUGGGGUAAUGGCCUACCAAGGCGACGACGCGUAGCUGGUCUGAGAGGACGACCAGCCACAGGAGCACUGAGACACGGGCUCCACUCCUACGGGAGGCAGCAGUUAGGAAUCUUCGUCAAUGGGCGAAAGCCUGAAUGAGCGACGCCGCUUGAGGGACGAAGCCCUUCGGGGUGUAAACCUCUGAACAGGGGACGAUGAUGACGGUACCCUGCUAAUAGCACCGGCUAACUCCGUGCCAGCAGCCGCGGUAAUACGGAGGGUGCGAGCGUUACCCGGAUUUACUGGGCGUAAAGGGCGUGUAGGCGGUUUUCUAAGUCCGGGGCUAAAGACCAGGGCUCAACCCUGGGUUUGCCUUGGAUACUGGAAAGCUCGACGGCUGGAGGGGGCAGCGGAAUUUCCGGAGUAGCGGUGAAAUGCGCAGAUACCGGAAGGAACGCCAAUAGCGAAGGCAGCUGCCUGGACAGUACGUGACGCUGAGGCGCGAAAGCGUGGGGAGCAAACCGGAUUAGAUACCCGGGUAGUCCACGCCCUAAACGAUGAGUGCUGGUGUCCGGCGUUUACCGGG
rnacentral:rRNA from 1 species